GACGAACGCUGGCGGCGUGCCUAAUACAUGCAAGUCGAACGCAGUGGCGGACGGGUGAGUAACACGUGGGUAACCUACCCAUCAGAGGGGGAUCACACUUGGAAACAGGUGCUAAUCCCGCAUCGUGAAAGAUGGCCUCGAGCCUGAUUAGCUAGUAGGUGAGGUAACGGCUCACGUAGGUGAUGAUCAGUAGCCGGACUGGAGGUGGAUCGGCCACAUUGGGACUGAGAUACGGCCCAAACUCCUACGGGAGGCAGCAGUGGGGAAUAUUGCACAAUGGGGAAACCCUGAUGCAGCAACGCCGCGUGCGGGAUGACGGCCGUCGGGUUGUAACCCGCUUCAGCCAUGACGCGGUAGUGGCAGAAGAAGCACCGGCUAACUACGUGCCAGCAGCCGCGGUAAUUC
rnacentral:rRNA from 1 species